GGGCCCAAAACGUAAAACGUAAAUGUAAAAAAUAAUAACGAGAUCGAAAUCGCAAUGUUGAACAGUGUUUUUCGCCCCCCCCCCCCCCCCAAAAUUUUUUUGCCCUCUUUUUUUCUUUUUUUUCCCUUUAAAAUCCCUUUUAAAAA
rnacentral:ribozyme from 16 species